rnacentral:lncRNA from 1 species
GUUCAAGUUUCAAGCUGGGCUUUGGCCUGGUUCAAGUCCCACCUGAGUUAUACAGUUCCAAUACCAAGAGUUGAAGUAAAUGGUAAGAGAUGACUGUUUAUUACUAUCCUGAAUGUAAGGCAUGAUGAGUGGAAUUUUAAGAGUCUUUAUUUAAAAAAAAAUUUUUUAUAAACAAAUGUAAAACUCAUCAAUCCAUUAACUAAAAGCUUUGCUGCCCCAAACAUGGCAAUUUCUCAAACAUGAAAUCAGUGUCAUUUGUUUUUCUUGAGCACAGACCAGGUUGCAAAUAUACACUGACUUCCUUCAGUAGAAGUUGUGAAAUUGCUGGAAAAUGGCUGAGGAUCUUUGACCUGUCUCUUCAAAGGACCAGUUCCCAAGUCUCUCCUUUCAACACUCCCUGCUUGCUGCUAUUUAAGCUACCACCUGGAAGCAUAUUCAGCAUGUGGGACCAGCCCUAAAACUUGCUGGAGUUCUUGUUUCUUCCUUGGUCUGUACAAGGCCACCAUUCAGUAACCUUGAGAACCAUUAAACCCGUCACAAGACCACCUGAUGCCAGAUGAUUGAAGGAAUGAAGGCCCUGCAUGCACCCUGAUCCUUAUCAGCACCUCUGCCUCUUGACUACAAGACUCCUCACAAUCCACUUAUUCCACCCCCGGUUGGGACAUACAGUUUUGAGGGCAUUAGCCUGCUGCAGCCCCCUUUGCCUGGCAAAGCAAUAAAACUAUUCGUUUCUAUGUCAUCCAAAA